UAAACAAGCUGGUUGUGCUGACCAUUCGUGGUAUGUGCACACUUGCCAAUGUUUCAUUCCAUUCUCCACCUGUGCACUCUGUGUAGUCUGUUGCAUUGCUGUUGUCAGAUUUAUAUCAAGUCUGGUUAAGGGAAGUUGCCUGUUUCACAACAGGCUCUUCUGGGGCAUGCAUAGGUCUACGUUUAUUAUCAACACUAUAUGAAUGUUAUAGAAUGUAUCUGGGCCUUAUGUGCCUUUAAAUCAUAAUACAACUUUCAACAACRGAUCUCUUGGCUCUCGCAUCGAUGAAGAACGCAGCGAAAUGCGAUAAGUAAUGUGAAUUGCAGAAUUCAGUGAAUCAUCGAAUCUUUGAACGCACCUUGCACUCCUUGGCAUUCCGAGGAGCAUGCCUGUUUGAGUGUCAUUAAAUUCUCAAUCCCAUGCAAUCUUGUGUUGCGUGGCGAUUGGAUUUUGGGGGCUUGCUGGCUUGUUCAGCUCUCCUUAAAAGUAUUAGCAGGGCAAURAUGCCAUCUGUGCUUUGUAUGAUAUGUAUCUAUACAUUGUGCAGGUUGGGUACAUCUGCUUCAAACUGUCAUUCAUGACAUUUGACUAAUUUGACCUCAAAUCAGGUAGGACUACCCGCUGAACUUAAGCAUA
rnacentral:rRNA from 1 species